AUUGCACGCUGGCGGCAGGCCUAACACAUGCAAGUCGAACGAGUGGCGGACGGGUGAGUAAUGUCUGGGAAACUGCCUGAUGGAGGGGGAUAACUACUGGACACGGUAGCUAAUACCGCAUAACAUCAGAUGUGCCCAGAUGGGAUUAGCUUGUUGGUGGGUUAACGGCUCACCAAGGCGACGAUCCCUAGCUGGUCUGAGAGGCUGACCAGCCACACGAGAACUGAGACAAGGUCCAGCCUCCUACGGAAGGCAGGAGUGGGGAAUAUUGGACAAUGGGCGCAAGCCUGAUGCAGCCAUGCCGCGUGUAUGAAGAGGGCCUUCGGGUUGUAAAGUACUUUCAGCUGUGAGGCGUUACCCGCAGAAGAAGCACCGGCUAACUACGUGCCAGCCGCCGCGGUAAUAC
rnacentral:rRNA from 1 species